AGCGUACACGGUGGAUGCCCUGGCAGUCAGAGGCGAUGAAGGACGUGCUAAUCUGCGAUAAGCGUCGGUAAGGUGAUAUGAACCGUUAUAACCGGCGAUUUCCGAAUGGGGAAACCCAGUGUGUUUCGACACACUAUCAUUAACUGAAUCCAUAGGUUAAUGAGGCGAACCGGGGGAACUGAAACAUCUAAGUACCCCGAGGAAAAGAAAUCAACCGAGAUUCCCCCAGUAGCGGCGAGCGAACGGGGAGCAGCCCAGAGCCUGAAUCAGUGUGUGUGUUAGUGGAAGCGUCUGGAAAGGCGCGCGAUACAGGGUGACAGCCCCGUACACAAAAAUGCACAUAUUGUGAGCUCGAUGAGUAGGGCGGGACACGUGGUAUCCUGUCUGAAUAUGGGGGGACCAUCCUCCAAGGCUAAAUACUCCUGACUGACCGAUAGUGAACCAGUACCGUGAGGGAAAGGCGAAAAGAACCCCGGCGAGGGGAGUGAAAAAGAACCUGAAACCGUGUACGUACAAGCAGUGGGAGCACGCUUAGGCGUGUGACUGCGUACCUUUUGUAUAAUGGGUCAGCGACUUAUAUUCUGUAGCAAGGUUAACCGAAUAGGGGAGCCGAAGGGAAACCGAGUCUUAACUGGGCGUUAAGUUGCAGGGUAUAGACCCGAAACCCGGUGAUCUAGCCAUGGGCAGGUUGAAGGUUGGGUAACACUAACUGGAGGACCGAACCGACUAAUGUUGAAAAAUUAGCGGAUGACUUGUGGCUGGGGGUGAAAGGCCAAUCAAACCGGGAGAUAGCUGGUUCUCCCCGAAAGCUAUUUAGGUAGCGCCUCGUGAAUUCAUCUCCGGGGGUAGAGCACUGUUUCGGCAAGGGGGUCAUCCCGACUUACCAACCCGAUGCAAACUGCGAAUACCGGAGAAUGUUAUCACGGGAGACACACGGCGGGUGCUAACGUCCGUCGUGAAGAGGGAAACAACCCAGACCGCCAGCUAAGGUCCCAAAGUCAUGGUUAAGUGGGAAACGAUGUGGGAAGGCCCAGACAGCCAGGAUGUUGGCUUAGAAGCAGCCAUCAUUUAAAGAAAGCGUAAUAGCUCACUGGUCGAGUCGGCCUGCGCGGAAGAUGUAACGGGGCUAAACCAUGCACCGAAGCUGCGGCAGCGACGCUGAUGCGUUGUUGGGUAGGGGAGCGUUCUGUAAGCCUGCGAAGGUGUGCUGUGAGGCAUGCUGGAGGUAUCAGAAGUGCGAAUGCUGACAUAAGUAACGAUAAAGCGGGUGAAAAGCCCGCUCGCCGGAAGACCAAGGGUUCCUGUCCAACGUUAAUCGGGGCAGGGUGAGUCGACCCCUAAGGCGAGGCCGAAAGGCGUAGUCGAUGGGAAACAGGUUAAUAUUCCUGUACUUGGUGUUACUGCGAAGGGGGGACGGAGAAGGCUAUGUUGGCCGGGCGACGGUUGUCCCGGUUUAAGCGUGUAGGCUGGUUUUCCAGGCAAAUCCGGAAAAUCAAGGCUGAGGCGUGAUGACGAGGCACUACGGUGCUGAAGCAACAAAUGCCCUGCUUCCAGGAAAAGCCUCUAAGCAUCAGGUAACAUCAAAUCGUACCCCAAACCGACACAGGUGGUCAGGUAGAGAAUACCAAGGCGCUUGAGAGAACUCGGGUGAAGGAACUAGGCAAAAUGGUGCCGUAACUUCGGGAGAAGGCACGCUGAUAUGUAGGUGAAGUCCCUCGCGGAUGGAGCUGAAAUCAGUCGAAGAUACCAGCUGGCUGCAACUGUUUAUUAAAAACACAGCACUGUGCAAACACGAAAGUGGACGUAUACGGUGUGACGCCUGCCCGGUGCCGGAAGGUUAAUUGAUGGGGUCAGCGCAAGCGAAGCUCUUGAUCGAAGCCCCGGUAAACGGCGGCCGUAACUAUAACGGUCCUAAGGUAGCGAAAUUCCUUGUCGGGUAAGUUCCGACCUGCACGAAUGGCGUAAUGAUGGCCAGGCUGUCUCCACCCGAGACUCAGUGAAAUUGAACUCGCUGUGAAGAUGCAGUGUACCCGCGGCAAGACGGAAAGACCCCGUGAACCUUUACUAUAGCUUGACACUGAACAUUGAGCCUUGAUGUGUAGGAUAGGUGGGAGGCUUUGAAGUGUGGACGCCAGUCUGCAUGGAGCCGACCUUGAAAUACCACCCUUUAAUGUUUGAUGUUCUAACGUGGACCCGUGAUCCGGGUUGCGGACAGUGUCUGGUGGGUAGUUUGACUGGGGCGGUCUCCUCCUAAAGAGUAACGGAGGAGCACGAAGGUUGGCUAAUCCUGGUCGGACAUCAGGAGGUUAGUGCAAUGGCAUAAGCCAGCUUGACUGCGAGCGUGACGGCGCGAGCAGGUGCGAAAGCAGGUCAUAGUGAUCCGGUGGUUCUGAAUGGAAGGGCCAUCGCUCAACGGAUAAAAGGUACUCCGGGGAUAACAGGCUGAUACCGCCCAAGAGUUCAUAUCGACGGCGGUGUUUGGCACCUCGAUGUCGGCUCAUCACAUCCUGGGGCUGAAGUAGGUCCCAAGGGUAUGGCUGUUCGCCAUUUAAAGUGGUACGCGAGCUGGGUUUAGAACGUCGUGAGACAGUUCGGUCCCUAUCUGCCGUGGGCGCUGGAGAACUGAGGGGGGCUGCUCCUAGUACGAGAGGACCGGAGUGGACGCAUCACUGGUGUUCGGGUUGUCAUGCCAAUGGCACUGCCCGGUAGCUAAAUGCGGAAGAGAUAAGUGCUGAAAGCAUCUAAGCACGAAACUUGCCCCGAGAUGAGUUCUCCCUGACUCCUUGA
rnacentral:rRNA from 1 species